GGGGAAUAUUGGACAAUGGACCAAAAGUCUGAUCCAGCAAUUCUGUGUGCACGAUGACGUUUUUCGGAAUGUAAAGUGCUUUCAGUUGGGAAGAAAAAAGUGACGGUACCAACAGAAGAAGUGACGGCUAAAUACGUGCCAGCAGCCGCGGUAAUACGUAUGUCACAAGCGUUAUCCGGAUUUAUUGGGCGUAAAGCGCGUCUAGGUGGUUAUGUAAGUCUGAUGUGAAAAUGCAGGGCUCAACUCUGUAUUGCGUUGGAAACUGCAUGACUAGAGUACUGGAGAGGUAAGCGGAACUACAAGUGUAGAGGUGAAAUUCGUAGAUAUUUGUAGGAAUGCCGAUGGGGAAGCCAGCUUACUGGAUAGAUACUGACGCUAAAGCGCGAAAGCGUGGGUAGCAAACAGGAUUAGAUACCCUGGUAGUCCACGCCGUAAACGAUGAUUACUAGGUGUUGGGGGUCGAACCUCAGCGCCCAAGCUAACGCGAUAAGUAAUCCGCCUGGGGAGUACGUACGCAAGUAUG
rnacentral:rRNA from 1 species